AGUACAGACGAAAGACUUUAAUCCAUCUAGCAAGCGUUGGCUGUCGUAUGUGCGUGUGGUACUGUGCGCGUAGGAGGCAAAACGGUUGGUUGGUGCGUAAAAGCAAGUGCAUAUAGGGAAAUUAAUCCCACUUUUACUCGAAAGCUCAGAAAAACCACGUACGGGCAUAAAGUGCGGAAGAAAUAUGCGUGUGGUGUUUCUUUUUUCACCGGAAAAUGUGUCUUUCACCCUCUUCCGUGGAGCAAGUUUCGUGUGCAUAAGAAAUUGUAGCUAGGAAAAGUGCUGGCUUUCCUCCCUACGACCAAGAGUGGCGAGAAUUCUCGAGAAGUGGCGAGAAGAAAGGACUUUAAUGUUACCGUGGCUUUAGUCGCUCCAGGAUGGGGGUUGUAAUGAACAAAAAGUAAGUGGCGCUUGCUUGCUUCCUGCUCUUCUUCACCUCAAGAAACAGUCGUAAAAAUAGAUUCGAUCACGCAAAACGCUAAGUCGGGACGACGACGCCGACGACGGGCGAAAAAGGACAUUCGCAAACGGGUUCUCUUCUAAAUGGCUGUGCUGCUGUUUGCCGUUGUUUGUGUGAGGAGGAGCGUGAUGAGGUGAAAGCGCAUUAGCAAUGUUGGGAAGAGUUGGUGGGUGCGGGGAGACCCCAAAAGGAUCCGUACACGCAGCGCGCAGAAUGUCUUAUUUUAAAAGCACAGCUUUUGUUAGAAAGUGGCACAUACACAAUUAAAACGGCCACAUGGAGAAUGCACCCGAAGGAAGGAGGAAGGGGGGGGGCGAUGUCCAACAGCCGUUAGUGGGGUGUGAAUUCAGCGUCCAGAGGAUUAGAAAUGUAAGCAAUGUGGUUCAUUUAAGCGGAUGAGUAAAAAGCUCUAAAACCCUAAGCUCCACACAAAAACAAAAAAAGGAAACCACAGGAAAAUGGGAAAAAAAAACUCUGGGAAAAAGCGUCUCUCUCUCUCCUGGUGCGGUGAGGGAAGGAGCAAUGAGGAUGCUUUGGUGAAAUUGCACCGAGUUCAGCAAACGCCGCAGGAUAACUAUGGGGUGGGAUUAUGAGCUACUCGCGUACAUCCCCAGGAAUCGUUUUCCAAUUUCAAAAAAACAAAAAAAAAACUACAUGAUAGAUGAAAACAACCUCCGCGUGCACGUGUUUCUCCAUACCCCAUUUAUCUCGAUAGGCCGGAGGCAAUCUCAACUUUUAAUACUAAGGAUUCGUGUUAUGAACAUUUGCCUGAUAGUGUGAGUGUGUGUGUACUAGAUGCAAUAAAAUUCUAUGAUUGCUGAGUCCC